AAAUUGAAGAGUUUGAUCAUGGCUCAGAUUGAACGCUGGCGGCAGGCCUAACACAUGCAAGUCGAGCGGUAGCACAGAGAGCUUGCUCUCGGGUGACGAGCGGCGGACGGGUGAGUAAUGUCUGGGAAACUGCCUGAUGGAGGGGGAUAACUACUGGAAACGGUAGCUAAUACCGCAUAAUGUCGCAAGACCAAAGUGGGGGACCUUCGGGCCUCAUGCCAUCAGAUGUGCCCAGAUGGGAUUAGCUAGUAGGUGGGGUAACGGCUCACCUAGGCGACGAUCCCUAGCUGGUCUGAGAGGAUGACCAGCCACACUGGAACUGAGACACGGUCCAGACUCCUACGGGAGGCAGCAGUGGGGAAUAUUGCACAAUGGGCGCAAGCCUGAUGCAGCCAUGCCGCGUGUGUGAAGAAGGCCUUCGGGUUGUAAAGCACUUUCAGCGGGGAGGAAGGCGUUAAGGUUAAUAACCUUGGCGAUUGACGUUACCCGCAGAAGAAGCACCGGCUAA
rnacentral:rRNA from 1 species